rnacentral:rRNA from 1 species
CGAAAAACCUUACCACCUUUGACAUGUACGGAAGAUCGCAGAGACGCGAUUGUGCUCGAAAGAGAACCGUAACACAGGUGCUGCAUGGCUGUCGUCAGCUCGUGUCGUGAGAUGUUGGGUUAAGUCCCGCAACGAGCGCAACCCUUGCCAUUAGUUGCUACAUUCAGUUGGGCACUCUAAUGGGACUGCCGGGUGACAAACCGGAGGAAGGUGGGGAUGACGUCAAGUCCUCAUGGCCCUUAUAGGUGGGGCUACACACGUCAUACAAUGGCUGGUACAAAGGGUUGCCAACCCGCGAGGGGGAGCUAAUCCCAUAAAGCCAGUCGUAGUCCGGAUCGUAGUCCGCAACUCGACUACGUGAAGUCGGAAUCGCUAGUAAUCGUGGAUCAGAAUGUCACGGUGAAUACGUUCCCGGGUCUU